rnacentral:lncRNA from 1 species
CUUGGCCAAAUUUAUUAAAUAUAUUGCAUAUGCAUCGCAUUGGUUGUUUCUUGCUGUCCUAUUAUAUUCAUUUAUGGUAUUUGAAGUGAAAAUAAGCACAAAACCAGUCAUUUUGACAAUUAAGAUUCUAUCAAGGAACCCUUUUAAGGUGACUAUAUUAGGGACAAAAACAAAAUGUGUACAAUAGAUAUCAAAAGAAGGUGUGGUAUGAUUGCCAAAGAGACAACUCUCCACAAGAGACCAAAAUGACACAGAAAUUACCAACAAUAGUUCACCAUACGGUCGUCAACAAUGAACAAAGCCCAUGCCGCAUAGUCAGCUAUAAAAUGCCCCGAAAUAACAAUGUAAAACGAGAAAACUAAUGGCUUAUUUAUGUACAAAAAAAUGAAUGAAAAACAAAUAUAUAUAUGUAACACAUAAACAAACAACCACUGAAUAAGUAUACAAGACAAAAAGAAAAGGAC